CUGCCUACGGGGGGCAGCAGUGGGGAAUAUUGCACAAUGGGGGAAACCCUGAUGCAGCGACGUCGCGUGAAGGAAGAAGUAUUUCGGUAUGUAAACUUCUAUCAGCAGGGAAGAAAAUGACGGUACCUGGCUAAGAAGCCCCGGCUAACUACGUGCCAGCAGCCGCGGUAAUACGUAGGGGGCAAGCGUUAUCCGGAUUUACUGGGUGUAAAGGGAGCGUAGACGGCGAUGCAAGUCUGAAGUGAAAGGCGGGGGCCCAACCCCCGGACUGCUUUGGAAACUGUAUGGCUGGAGUGCAGGAGAGG
rnacentral:rRNA from 1 species